UGGGGAAUAUUGCACAAUGGGCGAAAGCCUGAUGCAGCAACGCCGCGUGAGUGAUGAAGGCCUUCGGGUUGUAAAGCUCUGUCUUUUGGGACGAUAAUGACGGUACCAAAGGAGGAAGCCACGGCUAACUACGUGCCAGCAGCCGCGGUAAUACGUAGGUGGCAAGCGUUGUCCGGAUUUACUGGGCGUAAAGGAUGCGUAGGCGGAUUUUUAAGUGAGAUGUGAAAUACCCGGGCUUAACUUGGGUGCUGCAUUUCAAACUGGGAAUCUAGAGUGCGGGAGAGGAGAAUGGAAUCCCUAGUGUAGCGGUGAAAUGCGUAGAGAUUAGGAAGAACACCAGUGGCGAAGGCGAUUCUCUGGACCGUAACUGACGCUGAGGCAUGAAAGCGUGGGUAGCAAACAGGAUUAGAUACCCUGGUAGUCCACGCCGUAAACGAUGAGUACUAGGUGUAGGAGGUAUCGACCCCUUCUGUGCCGCAGUUAACACAAUAAGUACUCCGCCUGGGAAGUACGAUCGCAAGAUUAAAACUCAAAUGAAUUGACGGGGUCAUAGC
rnacentral:rRNA from 1 species